rnacentral:lncRNA from 1 species
AAGAACUCUAUUAUGCUUAGAACUCUCCCACUGUUUCUCUCACCAUCUCUGUAACUCUAUAAAUCUGAAUCUCUCACCACUUCUAAUUUCUAUCAAUUUCUAUUUCUUCUCUCCCUUCUUCAUUUCUAUUUGUUCUUCCCUUCAGAUUUGGGAGACUUGGGUUUAGUUGUCGGUUUUGAUUUAGAACAACUUCUGGCUUCUAUCGUCAAUUUUGAGGUAAUUUCUUUCGAAUCUUAAAGAAAAAUGUAAUCUAUAUCGUUACUUUGUUGGUUAAAUUCUGAUGGUGCAAGAAUUUGUUUUUGUAAUUUUAGUUUAUAUUCUGAUCAUUUUAUGAAACCGUAAUUCAUUGCUUUAUAAACCAUAUCUGUGUAAUUUUAGUUCUUAUGUCUUUAUUUUCUUGCAAAAUCCUCUCGUUUCUUAUGCCUUUUUGCUUCUUAGGCCCUUUUUCUUUCGUUGCUCCCCAAUUGCAACAGGUGUUAAUCUCUCUCUCUCUUUCAUUACUCUUGUUAAAAUACAAGAAUUGGGUGUUCAAAAUUGUGAUUUUGCUUUGUUGUUUUUAUUGUUAAUUUGUACGAGGAUGAAUUCAAGAAGAUCAAAUGAUCCGUUUUCUUAUUUUUCUAAUAUUUUUCCAUGUAUGAUUUCAAAUUUUAUUUAUUAAUUUCAAAUUCUUGUGGUAAUUAGUUAUGUACUGCAAGGGAGAUAUAGUCCAUUUGGGUUUGAAUGACAUCCCUAUUUCUGCAUAUCUCAAAACUUUUAACAAAUGAUUGAGUUCUGAGUACUCUCGGAAAAAAAAAAAAAAAAAAGAAGAAGAAGAAGAAGGAGAGCAUCACUUGGAAUACCUGAUUAAUGAUUCUUUUUCUACAAAUGUAUUAAUUACUCCCCGUUUGUAUUUAAUGUAUAGGCUUACGGACUUGUUCUUUAGUUUUUUUGAUAAUAAGUUAUGGUAUGACCAAUAUUCAGUUGUUAAUUCUACUGUAUCCGACGAACUACACACACCAUUAGAGUGCUGGUGGAUCCCAUUUACAUUGUAUGAUGGCAUGUUGUCUGAGUUGUACUUGAAUGUUGAGUCUCUCCAUUAGAAUAUGUUAUGGUUAUUAUCAAUAACAGUUAUAUGCUUAGCAUGGAAUAUGAGUUUGAGUCCUUCUGUGAUUGUCUUUAUGAGUGUUUCUUUAAGAUUUUUUUCAUUCUCGAAGAUCCUUUUGUUUCUUUCUCUCAAUAACCAGUAGGUAGUGGCGUAGACUGUAGCUUGGCAAAUUUCUUUGUGCAGUUGUUGUCCUUUGAAGUGUCUGCAUAUCCAAUUCCAUUCCAUAUGUGCGUCCUCUGACUUGUCAUUGGAGCUCACACCAGUUCAGAAUUUCAGUCCACACCUUCCUUGAAUAUCUCCAAUUAAAGAAUAGGUGUUUAGUAUCUUCACGAAAAUGCAUUCGACUAAAACUUGCACCACCAAUAUUUACAGGUACCAAUACAGGGAGAGCCUGAUUGGACUGCAUAUAGGAGGGUAUCUGUUGAGUGACUCGUACUGGGAACCCUUUGGGUACUUUGUGGUGUUUGUCUGCCUUGUACUCUCUGGGAAACUUCAUACUCCAAGUUACAAAGGACACAAUUAGUUUCAAGUAGCUUGCUCCAUCUCAGUAGUUUAUCCUGUGUCAAACGUGCUUCUUGUACGGCAAGCCAAGUAAUAAACAUAUCUCACCAAAAUCGUUUUUGAGUGUAAUGGUAGAUUACUUUGGUGUUGAAGAGUCAUUCUCUUUCUUAAUUUUAUUGACUAUUUGACACUUAAAUCUUUCUUCACUCAUAACAAGUGAGCAUUGUGCACGUUAGCUAGCUGUCUGUGCUAGUUCUUAUGAGCACAAAGUCAGCCACAGAUACAGUAAUGGGUCCUUAUACUUCAUGCUCAUAUAGAUCUCUUUGAAUGUGCAAGGAGAUUGUGGUGUUCUAUAGGAUAGGGACCUUAUAGCAAUUUAAUAUUUAGAUCUAUAAUUUGAAUCCAUGUAGAUGUAAUGUAGCACAUGACUUAGAUUCAUUGCACUUCAACUCUGUUUCUCUUUAUUUGCAUCUUUCUCUAUAAGUAGGACUAUUCAUUAGUCAUUAGAAUUCCUGAACGUGAAUGGCUACUGUAGUUAUAACGUACAGAGGUAAAAAGCAGUAAAACCUACUAUGUUGGACUCAAUGAAGCUGGUAGGUAUUGGGUCACUACUUCACUUGGGUCACAUUAAUAUGCAGGACUUGUUUGUGUGGAAAUGGAUCACUAUCAUCUUUGUGAUCUUCCCUUCUUGUCAUAAAUUUAGGUGUUCCUUUUUCGUUCUCUUGGAAAAAAUGAUCAUGCAUGUUGUUAAUUUUAGGAUUGUGUUCUUUUUUAAUGUUGCAGGAAAGCUAUGAUCAAUGAAGCAUCAAACUAAUUUCUUAGGGACAGUUCAUAUCUCAGGGUAUUUUUUUUCCGGUGAGUUAUACUUCCAGCAAGUCAUCACACACUAUUUUUUCACUUGUGGUAUGCAUCAUAUGACACUAUAUGUUUACGAAGGACUUAAAAGUGGAGUGAGUAGACAAUUAGGAUACUCUGUGUAAUCUGGCAGCUUCCAUUCACUCUUGUUAUGUAUGUUUUUAUAUUUUUUGAACAACUUGUUUUGUUUAAGAUUUCAUUAUACUUUGUAAUAAUUGUUAUGGUCACAUAAAAAUCUAGCAUAACUGAAUCUGAUCUGAAUUGAAUAAUACUGUUAUUUUCAUAGUAUUUUUGGAAUAUUAAUUCCAAAUAAUUUAUGGCAGAAGUUACAGUAUGAUACAUAUAUGUAAGGACACGAGAACAUAGUAUGGUUUUUUUUCUUCUUAAUCUAUCCCCUUUUUAACUCCGCGAAAGCAAACUUAUGAAAACCAUUGCUUUGCCGGUCCCAAGACCGGAUAAAAUAAGAGGGAAAAGGGUAAUAUUGUUAAAUUAUUUUAUAGUUGAAUUGUAAUACUGUAGUUUAAUUGUAUCAAUAAUUAACUUGAUUUUGUUUAUUACAGAGACUGCACAGGUUACAAGAUACCAACUGAAGUGUUGAAUUUUCCUGCAAGACCUAACUCUUCUUCGAUUUCUUUGUCCUGGGCGAAACCUACCAAUGAUGGUCAAGCUAAUAAGUUAGUAGUGAAUGAUGAAGAAGAGCUUUAUAAGCCUAAAAAACUGUAAGUCUAUAUAUCUCCAUUUGCCGACGCAUUGAGUUCAUUGAUGUAAGCAACAAUCUAAGAAUAUUUCUUCGCCGCACUAGGGCAGGUGGUUUGGGUAUCAAUCUCACUUCAACCGAGACCUAUAUAUAUUGUGUGACAGUGAUUAGGGUAAGCUCUCUCAUGGUCUAAAUCUCUAAACAUCUAUUGCAUCAUCUCCUCAAAACCCUGAAAUGGAUUUGCAUCCCAUGGAUAUUUGCCAAAGGAUAGGCCAAACCCGACCAAUUCGUGUGUAUAGUCAUUAGAGCUUUGUUUACUAUUGUGGAUGUCUUUUGUACUUGUGAAUAUUAUUUCUCGUUUAAAUUUUUUUUGUCAUAUGAACUAAUUAACUUUUCUUUAAUUAGUGUCGCAUAUUAAAGAGAGCUUUCAGUAAGUUGAGGCGUGAGCAUGUAGUGAUUGGGAAAGGCCAGUUCUAGUAGGAGAGAACCAAGUCAAAUUCUUUGAAUGUUCUUGAGGUUUGUGUUCUGUUACCUUCUCGCAUCUUGGUUGCUUUGUUAUGUUGUUAAACCCCUGGUUUGGAUAUCGAAGAACCACCCAAUGUUUUGAAUAUCCUUGGGUCUCUAUCAAAAGUAGAGACAUGAGGGUAGUAGCAACGUUGUCAUCACCUUUAUGUUUUUCACUUAUCUUUGUGCACGAUAGACCACCAAGUUGUUCCAUGUCGUCAUCACCUUUCACUAUGGUACAUAAUCAGAAUUAUGUACCUAGGCAUUGUAGUUUGAUAUUUUUCAUUUUCUUUCAACAGGCUGACAUCUAGAAUGUGAUGGAUGCUAUUGGAUCAACACUUUAUGUUAUGCAAACAAUGGUUUCCUGUCUAUGCUCUGUACUCCCAAAGGUGAACUGGCUAUAGUUGUCAGGAGUUUAAUUUUUUCUAUUCCUCAAGUUGAUUAUAACCAAUUAACCACAAACUUCAAAUAGUAAGUUGUGAUGUUGAUAUCUGUCUUUUUUAUGUAUAUGUUUUUUUCCCUUGGUUCCUAUUAACAAGAGUUUGUGUUUAAUAAAAAAAAUGUGUUCAUUAAGUUCGAGAUUGUGAAUGCUUUGGAAAUGUUAAUUGUUCAUUUAAUGUACUAAUUAAUUGCAUUUUCGCUUAGUUAGUUAUCGUAGGUACAUUAUAGCAAGUGUUAUGGCAUAAUGCAAUAAUGCUAAUAAUGUUGGAUUGCAGU